rnacentral:rRNA from 1 species
UGCCAGCCGCCGCGGUAAGACGAACCGUGCAAACGUUGUUCGGAAUCACUGGGCUUAAAGGGCGCGUAGGCGGUUUGCCAAGUUAGGGGUGAAAUCCUGCAGCUCAACUGUAGAAGUGCCUUUGAUACUGGUGAACUCGAGGGAGGUAGGGGUCGCUGGAACUUCUGGUGGAGCGGUGAAAUGCGUUGAUAUCAGAAGGAACGCCGGUGGCGAAAGCGAGCGACUGGAUCUCUACUGACGCUGAGGCGCGAAAGCCAGGGGAGCAAACGGGAUUAGAUA